AUGAAUCCAAAAAAAUAUCAGCUGGCUAGGUGGAGUGUAUUAUGCCGACCUAAAAGUCAAAGGGGCCUUGGAAUCCAGGAUCUUGAGAUUAAAAACAUUGCUCUUCAGAGUAAAUGGUUAUACAAACUACUCACUAAGAAUGGAGUGUGGCACGAAAUCAUUCGUAACAAGUAUGUGGGGUCCAAAGCCAUUUCUCAAGUUCUUUGGAAACCCAGUGAUUCACAUUUUUGGAGUGGCGUGAUGAAGGUUAAGGAAUUGCUUUUCCAAUUUGGCAGUUUCUCGGUUAGGGAUGGUUCUCAGGUUCGAUUCUGGGAAGACACCUGGCUGGGGGCCACUCCACUUAUGGUGCAAUGCCCUAGCUUGUAUAGGAUCAUCACACAUAAAUUCGUCACGAUCGAACAAGCAUUGGGAUAA
rnacentral:rRNA from 1 species